GCAAUGCUAUUUUUAAGCACCGCUUCAGGGUGGGAACACAGCAGAGCACUUGAUUUUAGUGUGUGCCGCAGUUAUCUGGGGAAGG
rnacentral:SRP_RNA from 1 species